rnacentral:tRNA from 1 species
GGAAGCAUGGCUCGGUGAUAAGAGUGCUAGCCCAGCAAGCUUGCAGUCUUGAGUUCAAAUCCCAAUACUGCCC